UUAUUUUUAUGAAUGAAUUCUACUUUGCAACUCUUGAUUAAUUAAUUACUAUAUUGUUAGUGUUAAUUCUUGGAAUUAACCUUCUUGUUCCACAAAUCUCAAUUUGCCUAUGCUCAAAUAUUUACACAUAUAUACUAGCUAGCUAGUUAUUAUAUUUAUAAAUAUAUGACUAUGUGGGGAAGAUAGAUGAUUAUAAUAUGUGUAGCUAAUAUAAUCAUUCUAAAUAUAUGGAACACCUAAGUGGUUUUUAUCUGCAAAUUAUAGUUCAACUGACAGAAAUGUUGAAAUUGUUAAUUAGGUCAAACGCGAAGUUUGAAACAUUGUCCCUUUACUUUGUGUGUGUUGAGUAUUGGCUUGUCAUUUCGUUACUUUAAGUGUUUAAUAGCAAUUAAAGUGAUGUUCCUUUUUGUUUACCCAAAAUGUCAUGUCCUUUUUUUGUUUUUUAAAUGUCCUUUAAAAUAAUAUCUUUAUAUAUUUAUAUAUUUGUUAAUCAUGUAUGUUUGGAUGUGCGGCAUAUUUGUGAAAAAAAAUAAAUACGGCAAUGUAAAAAUUCUAUUUUGUAGCUUUUGAAAAUCACGUCAAUUUUAUCUUGGCAAAGCUGAUCCAAACAUAAGCUUAUUUGUAUAGAUGUGUAUAAGAUGUUUUUCGUGAUUUUGAGAUGGUAUUAGGGGAUUUUGUGUCCACAAAAAAUUGAAAUAUGCACUAAGAAAAUAUACACAAUACACACAAGAUCGACAUUCGACAUCCGUCUACUUGUUAGUGAUUAGGAAAUGAGAGCAUCUAUGAUAAUCUCUUUUGGUUCACCCAUUUUUAGUAUCAUGAUAUUGUAUCUCUAGACAAUAUGAAAACGGUUUAGAGUUGGAUUGGAUUUUAAUGGUCUAUGAUUUUGGAGGUAUAUUGCAAAUAUUUGGUUGAAAUUGAAGAUAAUGAUGUACAAAGAAAUCGAUUAAUUGUGAUUGAAAAUGUGGCAAAAUUUCUAGUACACAAUUGAGCUAAUUUUUUCACUAUACAUAAUCUUGUUUUUAUUAUUGUAUCAAUAAAUUUCACUUAUCUAAUAGUAAAGCUUAUUGAUGCAAUAACAAAAAUAAGUUUAUAUAUAAUGAAAGAUUUAUCUCCUAUUCACAUUUUCCAACAAUUUACUACCAUUCAAAUAAAAUCAAAGAGACUCCCCUAUUCCGCGCCAGCCUUCCCUAACAAGUUAUGAUACAUUCAAGUAAAACCAAAGAGAUCGACUAUGCCGUUCCGCCAACCUUCAUAAGGUCACGCCACAACAAAAAAGUCUUACCAUUUGUCAACGACACAUCAUUGUACAAGAAGUUGAAGACCAAAACAACCCUAUCAAAUGAAUUGUGAGAUGUAAAAUAUUUAUGUAAUAGUAGAAUUUAUUAUACAAUAAUAAAA
rnacentral:lncRNA from 1 species